rnacentral:rRNA from 1 species
UACGGAGGAUGCGAGCGUUAUCCGUAUUUAUUGGGUUUAAAGGGUGCGUAGGCGGAGUGCCAAGUCAGCGGUAAAAAUUCGGGGCUCAACCCCGUCGUGCCGUUGAAACUGGCGCCCUUGAGUGGGCGAGAAGUAUGCGGAAUGCGUGGUGUAGCGGUGAAAUGCAUAGAUAUCACGCAGAACCCCGAUUGCGAAGGCAGCAUACCGGCGCCCGACUGACGCUGAAGCACGAAAGCGUGGGUAUCGAACAGG